GACGAACGCUGGCGGCGUGCCUAAUACAUGCAAGUCGAACACAGUGGGGACGGGUGAGUAACACGUGGGUAACCUCCCAUCAGAGGGGAUAACCCUUGGAAACAGGUGCUAACCCGAUACUGAUGGAUGGACCCGCGGUGCAUUAGCUAGUUGGUGGGGUAACGGCUUACCCAGGCAACGAUGCAUAGCCUGCUCGGUAGGGUGAGCGGCCCCACUGGUACUGUGACAAGGGCCCGACGCCUACGGGAGGCAGCAGUUGGGAAUCGUCGGCAAUGGACGGAAGUCUGGACGAGCAAAGCCGGGUGAGUGAAGGAGGUUUUCGGAUCGUAAAGCUCUGUUGUUAGAGAAGCGGUAACUAACCAGAAAGGGACGGCUAACUACGUGCCAGCAGCCGCGGUAAUUC
rnacentral:rRNA from 1 species